UGAUAGCUGUGAAACGUGAGGUUGCUGCCUAUUGGGAUGGUAUGGCAAACCAACAUGGCAGGUUUUCCGUGGAGCGAAUGUCAAGUUAGGAAACUGGCGACAA
rnacentral:ncRNA from 1 species